rnacentral:rRNA from 1 species
UACGGAGGAUCCAAGCGUUAUCCGGAAUCAUUGGGUUUAAAGGGUCCGUAGGCGGUUUGGUAAGUCAGUGGUGAAAGCCCAUCGCUCAACGGUGGAACGGCCAUUGAUACUGCCAGACUUGAAUUAUUAGGAAGUAACUAGAAUAUGUAGUGUAGCGGUGAAAUGCUUAGAGAUUACAUGGAAUACCAAUUGCGAAGGCAGGUUACUACUAAUGGAUUGACGCUGAUGGACGAAGGCGUGGGUAGCGAACAGG